AUUGAACGCUGGCGGCAGGCCUAACACAUGCAAGUCGAACGGUAACAGGAAGCAGCUUGCUGCUUUGCUGACGAGUGGCGGACGGGUGAGUAAUGUCUGGGAAACUGCCCGAUGGAGGGGGAUAACUACUGGAAACGGUAGCUAAUACCGCAUAACGUCGCAAGACCAAAGAGGGGGACCUUAGGGCCUCUUGCCAUCGGAUGUGCCCAGAUGGGAUUAGCUAGUAGGUGGGGUAACGGCUCACCUAGGCGACGAUCCCUAGCUGGUCUGAGAGGAUGACCAGCCACACUGGAACUGAGACACGGUCCAGACUCCUACGGGAGGCAGCAGUGUGGAAUAUUGCACAAUGGGCGCAAGCCUGAUGCAGCCAUGCCGCGUGUAUGAAGAAGGCCUUCGGGUUGUAAAGUACUUUCAGCGGGGAGGAAGGGAGUAAAGUUAAUACCUUUGCUCAUUGACGUUACCCGCAGAAGAAGCACCGGCUAACUCCGUG
rnacentral:rRNA from 1 species